AGAGGAAGAGAAAGGCCAGGCGACACCAGGAGAGGCCGGCCAGGGUGAAGCGCCACAAGGAGUUUGUUUUCGAGCGCGCAAGAUGGCGACCAGAAGAGGCCUUCGGCUACCGCUCCUGGCCAACGGGGCUGAGGGGAAACGGCACUCGUCGGUCACCGCCAAGUCCGCCGGUUCAGUUGCAACCUGAGAUGCACCCGCAAGAAAGCAGGAGAGUCGCUUUCCUGAGGAAGGAACGGUGAAACUGGGAAGCCAGAGACCCCCGGACUUGGCGCAUAUGUGCGCAGGCACUUUCGUCAAAGAGGAAAAGAAGACCAGGGAAGCGUCGCCGGCUUCCCACCCAAAUUCCCAGCCCUGUUUACAAACACAGCUGUUGUCGUAGAUUUGCAAAGCACCCUAAAAGCCACCAGCCGCGAAAGAAGUUUUAUAAAGAAACAGCAACCAGCCUCUGGAAGCAGAAGUCCUUCCAAUCAAAUCCCUACACUUUUCUCACACAGACACAGACAUUCCCUCUCGCAAAAGAGUCAGAAAUGAAUGAGGAACCCUACAAUAAGUAUAAAAUCAUCAUCACUUUUUUUUAAAACAGUGUUUUAAUUGAAAAUAAAGCUAAAGCAUGCUUUUUCCAACAGUG